CAAUAGCGUAUAUUAAAGUUGUUGCAGUUAAAAAGCUCGUAGUUGGAUUUCUGGUAGGAGUGACCGUUCCGAACUUGAUUGUUCGUGUAUUGUGUUUUCUCCAGCCAUCCUUGUGGAGAACUUUUCUUGCAUUAAUUUGUAGGGAUUGGGACCCGCAUCGUUUACUGUGAAAAAAUUAGAGUGUUUAAAGCAGGCAAUCGCUUGAAUACAUUAGCAUGGAAUAAUAAGAUAGGACUUUGGUACUAUUUUGUUGGUUUGCAUACCAAAUUAAUGAUCAACAGGAACAGUUUGAGGAUAUUCGUAUGAACAUGUCAGAGGUGGAAUUCUUGGAUUUUGAUCAGACGAACUACUGCGAAAGCAUUUAUCAAGGAUGUUUUCAUUAA
rnacentral:rRNA from 1 species